AGAACGAACGCUGGCGGCAGGCCUAACACAUGCAAGUCGAACGCAACUUCGGUUGAGUGGCGCACGGGUGAGUAACGCGUGGGAACCUGUCCUGUGGUACGGAAUAACAUCGGGAAACUGGUGCUAAUACCGUAUAUCCCCUGAGGGGGAAAGAUUUAUCGCCAUAGGAGGGGCCCGCGUAGGAUUAGCUAGUUGGUGAGGUAACGGCUCACCAAGGCGACGAUCCUUAGCUGGUCUGAGAGGAUGAUCAGCCACACUGGGACUGAGACACGGCCCAGACUCCUACGGGAGGCAGCAGUGGGGAAUAUUGGACAAUGGGCGAAAGCCUGAUCCAGCCAUGCCGCGUGUGUGAUGAAGGCCUUCGGGUUGUAAAGCACUUUCGCACGUGACGAUGAUGACGGUAACGUGAGAAGAAGCCCGGCUAACUUCGUGCCAGCAGCCGC
rnacentral:rRNA from 1 species